AACGAACGCUGGCGGCAUGCCUAACACAUGCAAGUCGAACGAGACCUUCGGGUCUAGUGGCGCCCGGGUGCGUAACGCGUGGGAACCUGCCCUUAGGUUCGGAAUAACUCCCCGAAAGGGGUGCUAAUACCGGAUAAUGUCUUCGGACCAAAGAUUUAUCGCCUUUGGAUGGGCCCGCGUUGGAUUAGCUAGUUGGUAGGGUAAAAGCCUACCAAGGCGACGAUCCAUAGCUGGUCUGAGAGGAUGCUCAGCCACACUGGGACUGAGACACGGCCCAGACUCCUACGGGAGGCAGCAGUGGGGAAUAUUGGACAAUGGGCGAAAGCCUGAUCCAGCUAUGCCGCGUGAGUGAUGAAGGCCUUAGGGUUGUAAAGCUCUUUUACCCGGGAUGAUAAUGACAGUACCGGGAGAAUAAGCUCCGGCUAACUCCGUG
rnacentral:rRNA from 1 species